UACGUAGGGUGCAAGCGUUGUCCGGAAUUAUUGGGCGUAAAGAGCUCGUAGGCGGCUUGUCGCGUCGGCUGUGAAAACCUAGGGCUCAACCCUGGGCCUGCAGCCGAUACGGGCAAGCUAGAAUUCGGUGGGGGAGACUGGAAUUCCUGGUGUAGCGGUGAAAUGCGCAGAUAUCAGGAGGAACACCGGUGGCGAAGGCGGGUCUCUGGGCCGAUAUUGACGCUGAGGAGCGAAAGCGUGGGGAGCGAACAGG
rnacentral:rRNA from 1 species